GCAGGAUUGGUUACUGAAGAUACAGCUAGGAGCUUGCCGGGCCAAUCCGGCAACUAUUGAAGAUAUUACAACUUCUCUAUGUAGUGAAAAAGAAAAAGAUGGAGAUGAGAAAAGGGUUAUUCUCCACAAGAAGAUAUGUAGGGGAAAGUUGAAAUUUAAAAUGUAAUAAUCAUACUAAUGAGUAAUCUCUAUAUCUCUCAUACUUUGAAGGGCAGGCAUGGCAGACAGCAGCGCAUAUUUAUCGGAUUUCUUGGAAAAAAAAAACUAUGCCGGUAUCACCGAAUAAAAGGUGAGUGAAUUUUAACUUGAGCAUCACAUCCAACCAUUUUCUGGUUGGACUUGAGGAACAAUUGGCCUAAUUACCACCAUCUUUUCCCAGACAAAGAAAUAAGCUGGCGAGCAACCUGAGCCAGUCGCCUACUGUCCCUAGAUGAUUCAUUUAUUAUGCUAGAUUUCUCUUUGUCUGGUGAACCAUUGUGC
rnacentral:misc_RNA from 1 species